rnacentral:rRNA from 1 species
GGCAUCGGGAAGAAAGCUUGCUUUCUUUGCUGGCGACCGGCGCACGGGUGAGUAACACGUAUCCAACCUGCCCUUUACUCGGGGAUAGCCUUUCGAAAGAAAGAUUAAUACCCGAUGGCAUAAUGAUUCCGCAUGGUUUCAUUAUUAAAGGAUUCCGGUAAAGGAUGGGGAUGCGUUCCAUUAGGUUGUUGGUGAGGUAACGGCUCACCAAGCCUUCGAUGGAUAGGGGUUCUGAGAGGAAGGUCCCCCACAUUGGAACUGAGACACGGUCCAAACUCCUACGGGAGGAGCAGUGAGGAAUAUUGGUCAAUGGGCGCUAGCCUGAACCAGCCAAGUAGCGUGAAGGAUGAAGGCUCUAUGGGUCGUAAACUUCUUUUAUAUAAGAAUAAAGUGCAGUAUGUAUACUGUUUUGUAUGUAUUAUAUGAAUAAGGAUCGGCUAACUCCGUGCCAGCAGCCGCGGUAAUACGGAGGAUCCGAGCGUUAUCCGGAUUUAUUGGGUUUAAAGGGAGCGUAGGUGGACUGGUAAGUCAGUUGUGAAAGUUUGCGGCUCAACCGUAAAAUUGCAGUUGAUACUGUCAGUCUUGAGUACAGUAGAGGUGGGCGGAAUUCGUGGUGUAGCGGUGAAAUGCUUAGAUAUCACGAAGAACUCCGAUUGCGAAGGCAGCUCACUGGACUGCAACUGACACUGAUGCU